rnacentral:rRNA from 1 species
CCUACGGGGCGCAGCAGUGAGGAAUAUUGGUCAAUGGGCGCGAGCCUGAACCAGCCACGUCGCGUGAGGGAAGACGGUCCUAUGGAUUUUAAACCUCUUUUGUCGGGGAGCAAAAGACGCCACGCGUGUCGUUCCGCGAGUACCCGAAGAAAAAGCAUCGGCUAACUCCGUGCCAGCCGCCGCGGUAAUACGGAGGAUGCGAGAGUUAUCCGGAUUUAGUGGGUUUAAAGGGUGCGCAGGCGGAAGAUCAAGUCGGCGGUAAACUUGAGAGGCUCAACCUCUUCGAGCCGUUGAAACUGGUUUUCUUGAGUGAGAGAGAGGUAUGCGGAAUGCGUGGUGUAGCGGUGAAAUGCAUAGAUAUCACGAAGAACUCCGAUUGCGAAGGCAGCAUACUGGCGCUCAACUGACGCUCAUGCACGAAAGUGUGGGUAUCGAACAGGAUUAGAUACCCUUGUAGUC